CAGGGGAACCAGAAGCAACGUCCCUGCUCCUUUGGCUGGGCACAGUUUCUGCUUGACGUGCCUUGGGUUGUUCCUUCAGGAGACUGACUUGUGGAGUGAGUCAUAAGUGUAGAGGUGCUGAGAAUUCAGAAAUCAUCUACACAAGGAAGAAAUAAGCUCUGAAUCAUAGUAUAGCUUGAGCAGAAUAGCAUACAGUCCCCAUUGGUGUGUAUCAGCAAGGACAUAUGUUUUACAGCUUCAAUUGAAUAAUUAAUGGAGUUUCUGCCUCCUAACUUUGUAGUACAAACUGGUGAAUCAUCACAGAUCUUUCAGUGUUACCUUUAGGGAAACAGGGAACUACCUUCAAAAAUCUCCUAUUAUAGGCUGAGAUGCUGAUGAAAUGUCAAGUAGAUGAUAUCUGCCUCAUCUGCUGAAUAUAAAGCUCUUGACAAUCGGAAUCUUCUCAUGCGAUAGUGGGUAGGCUUGGUUUGAACCAUACUUUCCAUAAAGUUCAGAAAGAGCUGAACUUACUUUACUUCUGGAACUCGAAAGGAAUCGCAUGGAAAUACUUGAAUUGCCUUCCAACUUACUAUUGCAACAUAUCGGUGAAGUCAGGCUCACCGAAAUUAUUGAUGAAACUCCACUGACGUAAAAACACCUUUACAACUUUACAUUGCAUUAUUUGUUCUUACUUUAUACUUACUGCUGUUCCUGGUUUACAGUAGUAUUAGUUGAGGUUAACAGUAGUCAAAUCAUAGCAGAAUUUUUCUUGAUUUUCUACCUUGUUAGCUGCAGCAGAGUAACUACAAAUGUGUUGGGAAUAGAUGCAUAUAGCUCGCAGAUUUGCCCAAUAUGCUUCCAUCUUCUAACUCAUUCUGUUGUAUUUCUGCAUAACAUUAUUCAAAUCCACCGGUGUCAUUACAUAGGCACCUAAUAGUAAAGAUUGUAUUCGACCCACUGUAACAUCCUAUCGCUUAUAAGCAUCUUAAAGUUCAUUAGAGUAUUUUACUGUUUGAUCCUCGUAGCAGACUUUGAGGUACGUUAAUUGAUUCAGAAGAAUGAAAACCUACGUGUAUGUAUGUACUCUCUUUAGUUAUCAGACCUACUGUGCACAUAUCAUAUAUAGUUACCCUUAUAUAAUUUUUUUCAACUCAGUUGCUUUAUCAAAACUCACUUGCUUUUCAUUAUAGUCAAACACAGGCAGCCUUUCUGAUGUUUUGGCUCCCCUUUUUUAAAAAGUGAGUGUUUUGAAAAUACCAUUCCAUAUGGUAUUGCAAGCUUUCUAAAUAGGUCAAUUUUCAUAGGUAUUUUGUUAAAAAGAAAUCAAAACUAAUACUGAACUCAGAGCACCAAAACAGGUCCAUGUACUUGACAACCGAAAGGAUAGCAAAGAUCUGUGAAAUGUAUCAAUGGUAGUAAUUGCUAUUUAAAUUAUUUUGCUUCUUGCUAGUGAGUGGAAUUGUCUCCUACGACUGUAAAAACGUUAUGAUAACUAGACAAUGUAGAAGUUGUUCUAAGAAUGUGCUCUUUUCUUUUUCUCUAGCUAUUUGAUGGGUAUAAUGCAUUUUGAAGAACAGGCAGAACAUUUUGUGUAUACAAUUAUGCUUACUUUAAUAACAUGUACUGCUAUUUUAGGCCUGUUCAGUACAAAAUCAGACUUGUAAAAUGUAGAAUUUUUUUAAACUCAGUAAUAGACAAGCUACAGCUUGCAGAAUCAAUGCAUUGCUGUGAAGAAAACUGAGAGGGAUGAAAAAUUGGAGGGCAAGACUGGUGAAAGCAAAAGCGAGAUGGUCAGGUAGAGAUGUGCCCUUGGAAUAUUUUAAUUACCGAGUGUGUGCUAGUACAUAGAGCAUCAACAGGGUGUAAAAAUAAAACGGUUAUUCAUAGCUACUCAUUUCUGUUGUGCUGCUUUUUCUAAUUAAGAGAUUUUUUUAAUUAGCUUUGUAGGUUUUGCAUGAUUUGUAGUGACCAUACAAUGUCCAUACAAUGCUUCUUUCAGGAUAUCUGGGUCACUAUUUUAUACUUACAGACUUUUAUCGAUCUUUUGUCAACAUUCACGGUAAAGUUUCCCAGAACAUCUUCUAUGUAAGUACCAGUUUCUAAAUUUGAGAGUUCCAUGGAUCCCAAGCACAGCUGGAACAUAAGGAGAAACAAAAAUCUGAAAUUCUUCAAAUCACAGUACGCUUUAUUGAGAAUGAAAUUCAUCUUAUAUACCAACCUUUAGGACUCUUUAGCACAAGCUAUUUUAUUCUGCUUCAGAGAUUUGGAACAAAACCGUACUUCGCACCACUUUUUGUUAAGAACACUGUAAGCAUAAGUAAUAUUAAAACUGAAUAUGUGGUUAGAGUUGAGAAUAAAUGAGGUCUGCGCAAGAAUUGAGACUGGUAUUUAAAACUUAUGUUUGGUGUCGGGUAGAGUGGUAAGUUAGUGCCUUCCUGCUUGCUUCUGUUCUUUUUAGGUACUCGUUAAGUCAAAGAUGAACCUCACUAGGUAUACAGUAAACAAAAUCUAAUUUUUUUUUACUUCAGUAAAGCAUGUGCAUAAUAUUGUAUUUCAUUUUAAAGAGUAUGUCUUAGAUUCUGUUUUUGCUGGGUUCUAGAAAAAGUUACAAAAUAAAGGAAUAAGCUGUUGAAGAAAUAACUGGAUAUUCAUAGUUUUAGAAAAUGAUACUGCACGAGUUCAUUGAAAUACAAUUGAAAGAUAUAUUGAAGACUGCAAGAACUGACUGGGUUCUAAACACACAUAGUUACCUGGGGUGCAGUUACAAUUCACUACUAGAGCUGUAUC